rnacentral:rRNA from 1 species
UACUGAGUGGCAGACGGGUGAGUAACAUGUGGGAAUCUGCCUUGUGGUUCAGGACAACAUUGGGAAACCGAUGCUAAUACUGGAUAAGCCCUUACGGGGAAAGUUUUAAUGCCAUAAGAUGAGCCCGCAUUUGAUUAGUUGGUUGGUGAGGUAAUGGCUCACCAAGACAAUGAUCAAUAGCUGAUCUGAGAGGAUGAUCAGCCACACUGGGACUGAGACACGGCCCAGACUCCUACGGGAGGCAGCAGUGGGGAAUCUUGCACAAUGGAGGAAACUCUGAUGCAGCGAUGCCGCGUGAGUGAAGAAGGCCUUUGGGUUGUAAAGCUCUUUUGUAGGGGAAGAUAAUGACUGUACCCUAAGAAUAAGGUCCGGCUACUUCGUGCCAGCAGCCGCGGUAAUACGAAGGGACCUAGCGUAGUUCGGAAUUACUGGGCGUAAAGCGCGCGUAGGCCGUUGAGUUAGUUAAUUGUGAAAUCCCAAAGCUUAACUUUGGAACUGCAAUUAAAA